rnacentral:rRNA from 1 species
CGGCAAUAGCUCAAAUUUGAAAUCUGGCUCUUUCAGGGUCCGAGUUGUAGUCUAGAGAAGCAUCAUCCGUGCUGGACCAUGUACAAGUCUCUUGGAACAGAGCGUCAUAGAGGGUGAGAAUCCCGUCCUUGACAUGGACUCCCAGUACUUUGUGUUGUGCUCUCAAC